GGCCCUACGGGGUGCAGCAGGCGCGAAAACUUUACAAUGCUGGGAACAGCGAUAAGGGAACCUCGAGUGCCAGGUUACAAAUCUGGCUGUCGUGAUGCCUAAAAAGCAUUAUAUAGCAAGGGCCGGGCAAGACCGGUGCCAGCCGCCGCGGUAACACCGGCGGCUCGAGUGGUAACCGUUAUUAUUGGGUCUAAAGGGUCUGUAGCCGGCCGGAUAAGUCUCUUGGGCAAUCUGGCAGCUCAACUGUCAGGCUUUCAGGGGAUACUGUCUGGCUCGAGGCCGGGAGAGGUGAGAGGUACUUCAGGGGUAGGGGUGAAAUCUUGUAAUCCUUGAAGGACCACCAGUGGCGAAGGCGUCUCACCAGAACGGACCUGACGGCAAGGGACGAAAGCUAGGGGCACGAACCGGAUUAGAUACCCGGGUAGUCCUAGCCGUAAACGAUACUCGCUAGGUGUCGGCCACGGUGCGACCGUUGUCGGUGCCGUAGGGAAGCCGUGAAGCGAGCCACCUGGGAAGUACGGCCGCAAGGCUGAAACUUAAAGGAAUUGGCGGGGGAGCACCACAACGGGUGGAGCUUGCGGUUUAAUUGGAUUCAACGCCGGAAAUCUUA
rnacentral:rRNA from 1 species